rnacentral:rRNA from 1 species
GAUGAACGCUGGCGGCGUGCCUAAUACAUGCAAGUCGAGCGAACGGACGAGAAACUUGCUUCUCUGAUGUUAGCGGCGGACGGGUGAGUAACACGUGGAUAACCUACCUAUAAGACUGGGAUAAAUUCGGGAAACCGGAGCUAAUACCGGGUGAUAUUUUGAACCGCAUGGUUCAAAAGUGAAAGACGGUCUUGCUGUCACUUAUAGAUGGAUCCGCGCUGCAUUAGCUAGUUGGUAAGGUAACGGCUUACCAAGGCAACGAUGCAUAGCCGACCUGAGAGGGUGAUCGGCCACACUGGAACUGAGACACGGUCCAGACUCCUACGGGAGGCAGCAGUAGGGAAUCUUCCGCAAUGGGCGAAAGCCUGACGGAGCAACGCCGCGUGAGUGAUGAAGGUCUUCGGAUCGUAAAACUCUGUUAUUAGGGAAGAACAUAUGUGUAAGUAACUGUGCACAUCUUGACGGUACCUAAUCAGAAAGCCACGGCUAACUACGUG